rnacentral:lncRNA from 1 species
UCUAAAGACCACCUAAAAUCUAAAGUUCAUCCAAAAGCUGAUUGUCAGAGUCUGAAGACCACCUAGAAUCUAAAGUUCAUCAGAAGCUAAAGUGAAGACCCUGAAGUUGGUUAUGAUGAUUAUUUGAAGACACCAAGAUCCAUAAGGGAUUAGAAGACUGGAGCAACGAUGAUUAUGAAGAGUUAUAAGGCUUUGGAUGCUUAUUCUCAGAGAAAGGACAAUGAAGCACAGAUAGUUCAAUUGUACAACCACUACCUCCACUAGUCCAACAUUACAUGCGUAUAGUACAAGCUACAGUUGUGUCUCUACUAGAUUU